UACGUAGGGGGCUAGCGUUGUCCGGAAUCAUUGGGCGUAAAGCGCGCGUAGGCGGCCCGGUAAGUCCGUUGUGAAAGUCAAAGGCUCAACCUUUGAAAGCCGAUGGAUACUGCCGGGCUAGAGUCCGGAAGAGGCGAGUGGAAUUCCAGGUGUAGCGGUGAAAUGCGUAGAUAUCUGGAGGAAUACCGGUGGCGAAGGCGGCAUCCUGGACCGGCAUUGACGCUGAGGAGCGAAAGCCAGGGGAGCAAACGGG
rnacentral:rRNA from 1 species